AAUUUUGGACAAUGGGCGAAAGCCUGAUCCAGCAACGCCGCGUGCGCGAUGAAGGCCUUCGGGUUGUAAAGCGCUUUUAGAGGAGAUGAGAAAGUACAGUAUCCUCUGAAUAAGCCUCGGCGAACUACGUGCCAGCAGCCGCGGUAAAACGUAGGAGGCUAGCGUUAUCCGGAUUUAUUGGGCGUAAAGCGUGUGCAGGCGGUUAUGCAAGUUGGAUGUGAAAGCUCCUGGCUUAACUGGGAGAGGUCGUUCAAAACUGCAUGGCUAGAGAAUGGGAGAGGGAGGUGGAAUUCCGGGUGUAGUGGUGAAAUGCGUAGAUAUCCGGAGGAACACCAGUGGCGAAAGCGGCCUCCUGGACCAUUUCUGACGCUCAGACACGAAAGCUAGGGUAGCAAACGG
rnacentral:rRNA from 1 species